rnacentral:rRNA from 1 species
AUGGUUGCCCGAGCUAUGAGAAUAAUCGGCCUCCAACCGCCUCGGCCGCGCACCAACACGCCCACCUGCAGUUCAGUUCAAAUUGGUUUGUUGAAGAAGGUCGACUCUAUCCUGGACACCACACAGCCUCCUCCCAGUGGGGCCCAUCAAGCUCAGGUCGUUCGUCGCUGCCACCUCCGGCCGUUCAACUACGCAGCGCUAAGACGUUCACCGCCAGCAGAAACAGCGACGAGCACGAAGACACCCUCUCAUGCUCAGUGCUCUGUCCGGCAUAACACAAGAAGUUCAUGUAAAACAGCUGCGAACAUUCAGGUACAUCAAAGAAUAUACUCAUGUGUGCAUAUAGAUGAGUUCUCACCUACCCAUUUUGCUCUCGAUGGUGCUUCUGUAGUUCAGCUUGAGUGUGUGAGAGAGAUUAGUUGA